rnacentral:rRNA from 1 species
UGGGGAAUUUUGGACAAUGGGCGAAAGCCUGAUCCAGCAAUGCCGCGUGUGUGAAGAAGGCCUUCGGGUUGUAAAGCACUUUUGUCCGGAAAGAAAUCCUUGGCUCUAAUACAGUCGGGGGAUGACGGUACCGGAAGAAUAAGCACCGGCUAACUACGUGCCAGCAGCCGCGGUAAUACGUAGGGUGCAAGCGUUAAUCGGAAUUACUGGGCGUAAAGCGUGCGCAGGCGGUUUGCUAAGACCGAUGUGAAAUCCCCGGGCUCAACCUGGGAACUGCAUUGGUGACUGGCAGGCUAGAGUAUGGCAGAGGGGGGUAGAAUUCCACGUGUAGCAGUGAAAUGCGUAGGGAUGUGGAGGAAUACCGAUGGCGAAGGCAGCCCCCUGGGCCAAUACUGACGCUCAUGCACGAAAGCGUGGGGAGCAAACAGGAUUAGAUACCCUGGUAGUCCACGCCCUAAACGAUGUCAACUAGUUGUUGGGGAUUCAUUUCCUUAGUAACGUAGCUAACGCGUGAAGUUGACCGCCUGGGGAGUACGGUCGCAAGAUUAAAACUUAAAGGAAUUGACGGGGUCAUAGCUGUUUCCU